UACGUAGGCAGCAAGCGUUGUUCGGAGUUACUGGGCGUAAAGGGUGCGUAGGCGGCCCUGUAAGUAUGGUGUGAAAUCUCCCGGCUUAACUGGGAGGGUGCGCUAUAGACUGCGGGGCUCGAGUGUGGGAGAGGAAAGUGGAAUUCCUGGUGUAGCGGUGAAAUGCGUAGAUAUCGGAAGGAACACCUGUGGCGAAAGCGGCUCACUGGACCAUUACUGACGCUGAGGCACGAAAGCUAGGGGAGCAAACAGG
rnacentral:rRNA from 1 species